rnacentral:lncRNA from 1 species
ACAGAGUGAGUGGUAGUGAAACAUACACACCGGAUCACGGAUCAGCAGCGGAGAAAAGCUGAGUUUUACGUGAGCUGAAGAAACCUUGAUCAGAGUGAGCUGAGAGAGCAGAGGGAAGAAAGGAAGAAGGGGAAAAGAUAGUGCAGCAGUAGCUUUAGCAGGGCAGCCAUGGGAUUCUGUCGUGGGCCUUCCGAUGUCAAGGUGCUCCCAAAGAACACCUCCUGCUUGUCGUCAACGUCCUCCUCAUCGUCAUCGCCUGCUAAAGAUUCGGGCGACGGUGGCAAGAAGAAGCAGCAGCAAGGUGUGAAGAAGGAGCAGGGGAGGGAGAAGAAGAAGAGCAACCUUGAUCGGGCCGCCAUGGCUACGCCCCGCCUCCCCUUCCAUUCUCGACCCGGUCUCAUGUAAUGUUAACCGGGAACAACAAUGCAUGCAUAAGAUCCCGUAUGUUCUCCAAUUAGCUUAUGGCUAAGGUUGGAGCUUGGGUUUAAAUAGCUUCUGUUGUUAGGUUAAAGUUUUGAGAUUUCUACUGUCGUCACUUGUUGUAUUUUUUCAUUGAUUGGUUGGUUGUAUUCCAUGAUUCAAAUUCCUGGUGUUUUCUGUCAAUUUACAAGAGAUUAAGCUCAUUAUCACCAGGAUGCUAUUUGUUUCCCUACUUCCUUCGUUGGAUUACUAUUCCCCUACAUGACUCGCUAGUUUAGGCAAGCAAGACUAAGCCUACAUCACCCUCAAAAAGACUAAGUCUACAUCAACUACGAGCAUCUUUAUUACACCCAGUGGUCAAAACCCAUAUAAAUUUGACUGGUGCACUGGGCACGUUCUCAAAAGUAUGUGUAGCAAGAAUCUGUGACCAAACUGCAAAAUAAAUUAAACCAAACAUUUCCCUAUCAUAAAAGGAGAGAGAAGAAGCAUGGUAAAACGGAAGGAACAACUACCACCACUUUCUAUCCCAAGAAAUAAUUGGUGGGCCUUCAUUCUACUCCAAAUAAAUAAAUUGAUUUUCCUCUUCCCUCAACCAAGACACACGAGCACCGCCUCUCAGCUGAUCUCUUCUUUCUCCUAUCUCCACAUCCUCCCACCCGUCUAAUGCUCCGGCCGGAGGUGGGGAGAACCACAAUUUUGCUUGUUUGAUCCGGAUCUGCAUCGAGACUGAUUCGCAUCUCCUCCAAGCAGACCUCACGCAGAAGGAACCAAGCUUCUCAGCAUAUGCCUCGGCCCUGGACGAUCUGAAGAUCGAGAUGAGGCUAUGGUUCUCAAAGUGUGAUGUUAUUGCAUGUAGGCGGAAGACAACGGUGUUGCGCAUGAGCUCGCUAAGUUAGGAUAUGAAUGUAGUGUGAAUGAACCCACCAUAUAAGGGAUGUCGAUGUACCGCCGUCUGUGGCCGGACUUGUUUUAGGCGACAUGCCUAACCUGGUUGCGUAAUAAAGUGUUUUGCUUUGACCCUAAAAAAAGGUUAGAGCUUGGCGUUGUGGUGUCAUUGUUUCAGGUUUGGUGGCAGUGUUGCGUUGAAUAAUGGUUGUGCCCCAGCUUCAACCCCAUCUCGAUGGUAUGUCGACAUUGUUGAGGAGCCGGUUUUUCAGUGUCAUCGUCAGGCAUGUUCACCGGCCAUGGGUGGUGUUCGUUUUGUUGUUGGCAGGCGGUCUUGGCCUUGUCUUGUGUGCAUGUAAUUCCCACAUGUGAGUGAUCACUGCUGGGUCAUUGUUUAGGGUCUGGUGGCGGUGUUGCGUCAAAUAAUGGUUGUGCCCAGGCUUCAACCCCACCUCGAUGGUAUGUCGACAUUAUUGAGGAGCCGAUGGGUCAGUCUCAUCGUCGGGCAUGUUCACCAGCGUUUGGUGGUGUUAGUUUUGUUGUUGUCAUGCGGUUUUGGCCUUGUCUUGUGUGCAUGUAAUUCCCACAGGCGAGUGAUCACUGCUGGGUUUCGUCGAUUCCACCGGUGACGCUAGCCAGCCUUGACAUUGGUUGGAUGCCUACCAAGACAAUAAUGAGGAGUUUCUCUUUCUAGGUUUGUGUUGGUGCCACACCAUUGUUCUUCUCGGCAUCAUGCUCUCCUCCGACGACCAAGCAGGCAAUGACGAAUACAGUUCGGAAGGAUUUCCUUGCGGAAUUAGAUGUAUUUCCAAGUCCCCACAGGCACAUGGACAACUAUCUUACACGUGGAUAUUUUCUUUGUACUACUCAUUUUUUGUUAAAUAAUAUAAUCCAGAUAUAUUAGAGCAACUGUCGCAGUGUCGCCAUAGGUGAUAUGGAGCGCACUCCAUAUGCAUAUAGUGGACGUGCAUGUUGUGAGCAAACACAGAAUUGCCAUGAUGUGGCCUCCAUAAACUUCAUUUUGUUUCUUCUUUUUUGGUCAUUUUCUUUAAUUUUGCAGGGGGCAAUUUAAGCUCAAAUUAUUAUGAACCAAAUGCAGGUAUCAUGUCGAUAACUUAAUGGCAACUAUAUUCAGUAGCCAAAAUGUUUCCCUUUAAAUAUAAUUAACGACUUGAAAAAUAGUUUGACGUCAUUUUCAAAAUAACCAAUGUUGCUAUUCGAGCGACAUUGCUACCUAGUACGACCUACACUAGUCGGUGGUCGGCAUCUUCUAGUUGUCGCUGUCUUCCUCAUGGUGGCCGUCCUCCUGCACCUCCUCCGAGAGAUCGUCAAAGUAGGGAUAGGGGUCGGGCUCGCGAACGGCGCUGCAAGCUGCCACUACCACUCCUAGUAAGUGCGUGCGUAGCCGAAUACUAGGAGGAUGCACUCCUCGUUCCGAGCUUUGAGGGUGGAAGCCGCAACACGACAUCGAUAUGGUCCUCGGGCUCCGGCGCCGACUUCAAUUGGGCCUAGACUGACUAUGACGUUGUUCAUAUGGACGAGGGGGUCGACGGGAACGACAUCUUCCUCCACACGGACGAGGAGGCUUGAUUCCCGCAGCUGGCAAAUCUGCCCUCGCUGGGGAAGAGGACAAGACGGCUGCCACGGGAAGAGUUCGUGCUGGUGUGCGGCGUCUAGGAUGGGAUCAAAAUAUAUUAACCGUAACAUUUCUCUAUAUAUAUGAUAAAAAAAGGUGAUAGAAGACACAUGGUAAAACCAAACGGCUACCUCCCACGAUCCUUCAAGGGAGAUAAUGAAUUGGCAGGUCUUCAUUCUUCUCCACACGAAGAAAUCAUUUUCCCUAGAAAAUAGAGAAAACGACUGAAAGUCUUUAUCAUUGGGACCUUGCCAACCAAGCAACCUCACCUCUGUAUUGAGUCAUCGGUCAAUGUUGCACGACCACCAGUAUCCUACUAUCAGCUAAGACCAAGAAAAAUUCAACAGGCCAUGGUAGACUGCAAGUACCGACAGCGCCACAACACUACAGACUAACAGGUGGACCAUGAGAGCCCGGGCGCCCACCCGUCAGACACUUGCUGCCACGCGAGGCGCGUAUGCGGCACAUGGGUGUGUCACUGUCGAUGGAAGGCAAAAUCGUUGUCGUUGCGACGGGUGCGGCGCAGGCCACCAUGUGCUCGAAUGUGAGCAGCGAACCUUGCUGGAAGGUCGGAGCUGGCUGUCCUCUCCUAUAAAAUGAUCACCAGGAGCCCGAAAAUGAGUUGCAGAGGCCGGUCUGCAGGCAGCUCUCAAUCCUACCCGCCGAACUAGCAUGGGGAUGUGUGUUGCUAGACGUAUUGCAAUUACAGCUCCAACUUCAAGGUCAUAUAUCACCGUAUUCUAUGAUAGGCCCCAUGCAAGAGGUACUUCCAAUCUGGGCCGAAAGCAGGUGGUUGGCAGUAGGCACAUGCUAGUACAGUGUGAUCAUGUCUUCUUUGCAGAACGACAGGUGUUUUGGUUUGUACUUAAUCAUCGGAUACACUUAAGAUGAUGGAUUAAAGAGAACUUUUAGAAAGGGAAAAACGUUGGAUGGUGCUACUCUGAACGGCGGCACAACAGUUUUUUAGGAAAAUUUUAAGGUGGUCCAGAUCAUUAUGGACCGUUCAAUUUUAAUGAACUAAUGGUUCAUACAACAUGUAAUAGGAGGUAAUAGACCAUUGAUAAUGGGAUGGGGGUUAGACAUUGUUGUGCUAUAAUUAAGGACAUAAAUUAUUAUAAUUUAUUCCCUUUCUUUAAAACCUUGCAUACAUAGCAAAAAAAUAACAGAUCUAAUUAAUGCCAGAUUUUUUGCCAAUUAUUUGUUUAGCUGAUUUUCCCCAACUAUUUUCUUUUGCUGAACGUACCUUAUCAUUAUGUCUAACAAAUGAAAUAAGAAGUUUGUCAAGUUCUGUGAUAUAUGUUUAUGCAUGUUUUAUUUUGUCGGUUGGGAGCUAAACAAUAGAGAAUGCAUAGAAAUUGUUUCUAGACAACACCAAAAAUGAAUACUAGUUUUUUUUCUUUUGCAUGGUAAAUGAAUAAUAAUUGACAAAAUCAUAGCAAAAAGCAGACAAAAUACCAUCAGUAUUUUUCUUUAACAGAGCACCCAUGUGUACCAAUGUUCAUGCACAUUUUAUUUCCUUGAGAAGAGAAUGUAUAACGGACAAAGUUUAGUGUAUUUCUCACACAAUAAAAAUUCAAACACGUUCCUAGCAUGGCAUGUGUACAUCUAAUUUUUACUAACUCUCUCAGAAUAAUGGGAGUACACAUACUGUUUAAUUAUGGUGAUGAUUAUUAGGUUGUAAUCUAGACGAAUUAUAAUAAUGCCAUUUGUAGAUUGUAGUGUAUAUACAAAUAUUUAGGAUUCCAUGGAUAUGUAUCAUAUUUCACAACAUUACACUUAUCCAUCUUUUUUCUGGGGAAUUAUUCAUCUUCAUAUGAUAGAUACAACAUAGAUCGUACGAGGAUUGAAUGUGAUUUUUUAGUAGAUUAAAAUAAAAAGAUAUGAGGGAAAUAUUUUAAUAUUUCCCUUUUGACAAUAAAUUGCCAUAAUAUUAUGUGUGGUCAAAUAUACCUUUUUUUGAGGGAAGGCCAUCAUGGCUAGCUUUAUUGAUUGAAAAUAGGGAUUACAUCGUCCACAAGGUUCGAAACGAGAAAGCCCGGAGGCUCACCCGUCCAACUAAAAGAAAUCUUAUUACAAUAACUGUAGUUAGGUAGCACAUGCGCUGCUUGGUUACAAGAACGUGGGCAGUAUUGAAAUUUGACCUUCCCGAUCAACGAAGAGAGAUCCACACACUCGGCAAAAAUAGCUGCUGCUUCAUCCCACCAUCUAGCUUGGCCAUCACAUGAUUCUAUCACCGUUGUGGAGUCUGAUUCUGCUUCAAUCCGGGGGAAACCAAGUGAAUUUGCAAAAGCCAAUCCAUCUCUCAUCGCAAGGGCCUGGGUGGUAACUACAUUAGCUGCAUGGGGUAUAAAUUUACACUGCGCCGCUAGGAAUGUUCCCUUCUCAUCCCUAAUCACAGCUGCUGUAGCACCCAAACCUUCAUCAACAAAAAAGGCGGCAUCAACAUUUAGUUUGACAAACCUGGGUUCUGGUAUCCUCCAUUUUUCUACGGUAGUAUUCAUCAUCUUCUCAUUAACCUGAUGGUAAUUAUUUGCUAUCGCCAAUACGGACAUCGGCCAUUUAAAAGUAGGAGGAGGCGUUCCAUCGUGAGUGAAUUGCCGACGGAUCCACCAUAGAUACCAGCUCCCCACCACAAUGACUUGCUUGACAUCCAAAUUAGGUUUCAAAGGAGCUGGGCUAGAUCCACCAAGGAGUAAAUGUUCCAGUAUGAUAGAACCCAAACGAUUCACCGACCUAGCUUCGGCAAUUGUUUCCGAGAUGCCUAAUCUGCUCCAGAGUUCCCUUGCGUGAAUACAAUCAAAUAGCAAAUGCUUAAUAUCCUCCGCACCAUGAUGACAGAUUGGACAUGCACCAUUUGUACCUACAUGUCUGUUAGUAAGGAUGGAUUUAAGCGGCAAUAUCCCGUGCAGCGCUCUCCAGCAAAAAUUUUGGAUUUUACGUGGUCAAAUAUACCUUGAUGAAUGGACGGUUCUGACCAAAUAUUUCUCUUAUCUCUUACGGGUAAAAGAACCAUCUUGAAAGAGCUUUGAAAAAAGCACAACUAAUUACUACCUUCAUCCGGGUUUUUUAGUCGCCAUUGUAUUUUGGAUCAAACUUUGAUCACAUGUUUGACUAAUAAAAUAUUAAUGCAUGUCAUAAAAAUAUGUAUCUGAAUUUAUUUUUUAAUAAUAUGACUUUUGCUACUACCUCCGUCUAGGUGAAUAGGUCAUUUAUGUAGUUCUAGGUCAUCGAUUUGAGGAAUUAAAUACGUGUUAUAUGUCAUGAAAAGUAUAUCACUAGAUUUCUACACGGAUGUAGUUUCUAAAUAUAUAUUUUUUGUCACAUAUAAUACAUAUUUAGAUAGUUAAAUCAUCGAUCUAGAACUACCGAAUGACUUAUUCACCGAAACGGGGUAGUACAUAUGAGUUUCAUUUUAUUAGUUAAAGUUAUUGUUAAAUAUGACCCAAAAUGCGAGGGGACUAGUAAACCCGGCCGAAGAUAGUAAUUACUCUGUCCGUCUCAAAAUAUAAGAUUUUUUUGACAUAGUAAGUAGCAAGUUGUACACUACCUUGAGGAUUAGUUUUAUAAAAACAGAGAAAUGCGCGGCGGUACAUUUACAGAAAAUUGCCCAGAAUGAGACAUGGUUGUAGCAUGCAAUGAUGAGGUGGCCGAAUAUAGUAGAAUAUUGAUAUUUUUGUCCUCCGUGAAGGGUGAGCCUUAAUUUCACCGUGUUUGAUUUCGAGCAGUCAUAUCAGUCAUCACAUGCAUCAAACAGUGUUAUCUCAUUCACUGAUAUACGGUUGCACUAUUCGGGCUUCUUUGAUUCAAAGGAUUCUCAAAGAAAUUUUGAAGAAUUCUAAUUCUUAGGAUUUUUUCCUAUGUGGGUUGUUUGAUUCGUAGGAUUGUAAACCGUAGGAAUUUUUUCAUAGGAUUCAUUUGCACUAGAUUUCAUAGGAAAUUUUCCAUCCACUCAAACCUCUUUGAAAGAAUCCUACAUUUUUUUAUGCACAAUCAAACACUCAUACAAUCAUAUAGGAUUCAAGAUGACAUGCCAUUCCAAUCCUACGUUUUUCCUAUUCCUGCAUUUGGGAAAUCCUACGAAUCAAAGAGUCCCUUCAUCUAGAUGUAUAUUGGCUCGUAUACUUUCAAAAGGUCUGACAGAAGUGAAUCACGAGGCCCACACCCACGAAGGGGAUAACGAGCUGUCUGGUGCUCGGCCUCUGCAACGCCGCUCUCACCAGGAGCCCUGUUUUCAACAGAAACACACACACGAAUCACUAGCCGAGGAGAGCAGACGAAACAAAGGAAUUAGAGAAGAAAAGAUCAAACGGUGGUGCGGUAGUAGCUAACAGCGCAGCCAUGGGAUUCUGCAGCGGCCCUUCAGAUGUCCAGGUGCUCCCAAAGAACACCUCAUCCUCAUCGUCGCCGUCUUCCUCGUCAUCGGCUGAUAAAGUUUCCGGCGACAGUGGCAAGAACAAGAAACAACAGGGUAUAAAGAAGGAAGAGAGGAAGGAGAAGAAAAGGAGCAAUCUUGACCGGGCUGCGCUCACGACGCCCCACUUCCCUUUUCAUUCUCGCCCCGGUCUUCUGUAACAAUAGAUUAACGGAGAAUUACAGGUGUAUUUCAUUCUCGCCCCGGACUGCGCGCACGUACCAUCCUGUAGGUUUUCCUAUUAGCCUGUGAUUUAUUCAUUGAUGGGUUGGUUGUAUUUUUUUUUGAGGGGUGGGUUGGUUGUAUUUGAUGAUCCGAAUUACAGGUGUUUCUUUUUAAAAUAUAGAGAUUAUGUUCAUUGUUAUUGGGAUUAUUAAUUUUUAUUGUUGGAUUGUUAUUCUCCUGGCUUGACUUAAUUCUUUGGGGAACGCGAGCAAAGAUAAGCCUACAUCACUUGUGUGCACCACUUUUUUUAUCCGGUGGCCAAAACUUACAUAGGUUCGGCCUACUGGGUAUGUUCACCUAAAAAAAAGUAUGUGCAGUGAGGAUCUUCGGCCUAGCUGAUCAAAAUUCACUAAAUCAAACAUUUCUCUAUCACAAAAGUUAAUAGAAGUAGCAUGGUAAACCAAACAAACAGCUUGCACCCACUUUCGAUUCCAGGGCAUAAUCGGCAGGUUUCAUUCUACUCCACAUUAUAAACAAAUCAAUUUUUUCCUUUUCCCUCAACCAAGACACGACCGGAGCCUCCUAGAUACGUCAUUUCUAUAGAUAUUCAGCUCUUCCGUCCCACGAGGCCGGUGGUCCCAUCCUCUUCAUAUGCUACUUUGGUGGCGGGAGGUGGGGACCCCGGUUUUGUAGUGUGUUCGGCAUGUAGCUAGGAUUAGAGUUUGGUGUUUGUGACGACGCCAUUUAGAUGGACGAGGAGUUGUGGCAUCGAAAAAUGGUGGUGCCCCGACUUCAACCCCGUCUCGCCACUUCGAGGGGCUGAUGGGUUAGUGCCCUCGUCAGGCAUGUGUUGAAGUAUUGUGUGGAGUUGAUUUGGUCGUCCACUUGUGGUCGUGGACUUGUCUUGUGUGCAGUUAGUUUGCACAAUGGGAGAUCACGGGCAGAGUCGCUACCUGGCCGUGAUAUUGGUUCCGCGACAACAACCAUGAGUUUCCCUCUAUUGUUCUAAGUGUGACACAAUUGUUGUUCUUCUUCUUCUUGUCAUCGUGCUCCUCCGACAACCAAGCAAGCGACGGCAAAUUCAAUUCGGACGGAUUUUAUUGUGGAGCUAGACAUAUUUCUAAGUCUCCUCCAGCAUAUUAUGAAAAGUUGGGACAACUAUCCUACGUGCGGCAGGGCAUGGUGAGCGAUCCUCAAAUGAUUCAAACUAUCCUAUGUGUGGGUGGUUUUUUACACCUUUUGUUAAAUAAUACAAUUGAGAUAUUAUCUAUACCAAUAUAAAAAUAUUCAAAGGGGCAGAUCCAACUAAUCUUGGCCAUCAAACUAAGUCAAUCCAACGACCUAGACUGCUCCAAUGUCGAGCGUUCAAUGUGUUUAACGUGCAAUUAAUAUCAUAUCAAAUAUUUCACUAAUCACAAAAUUAACACACAAGUACCUAAUAUGUGCGUGCAAUUAAUAUAUUGCCUAAAUAUUAACGUGCAUUGCACGUGCGCAUUUACUAGUUACACAAAAAUCCCAUCUUCUCCCGAACGUAGAAACAAAUGGAAGUUUGUAACCAAAGAACCUUGCCGGCCAAGGAAGCUCAUCUCUGGGCUGAGUCACCGGUCAACGCUCCAUGAUCGACAUUAUCCUAUUCUAUCAACAAGGCUACGGAAAAUUCAACAAGCCAUGAUGCACAGACCCUACUUACUGACAAGUGGACAAGAAGUGUCCCUAGGCCCACCUGUCAAUACCUGACUGCUUCGUGGUGUGCGUACGUGACAUUUUUUUAAGGUUGGUGCGUGCGUCACUGCCGAUGAAAGGAGAGAGAGGCCGUCGUGGUUGCAAUGGGUGCAGGUGCCAGCGAACAUGUGCUCGAGCUCGAAUGAAGCAAAAUAUAUAUAAUACUGUGAUUUUUAAAUUAUAGAGAGCGUAGAAACCUUCCACUGGAAGUUUGCAUCGAGCCACUCUUUUCCACUAUAAAAAUCCACUAUAAAAACAGGUCGAUGGGAGCAUAUCGUUUGCCAACAUAAACACACACGGAUAAGUUAGCAAAGAGCAGAGUUACCUCAGAGACAAAGGAAGAAGAGAGGCGAGGUAGCUAGCUUCAGACAUGGGGUUCUGCUGUGGGCCUUCGGAUGUCCAGGUGCUCCCCGAGAACACGUCCUCCUCCUCUCCCUCCUCCUCCUCGUUUGUUAAAGAUUCCGGUGAUGGCGGCAAGAAGAAACAGCAGCAAGUUAUAAAGAAGGAACAGGGGAAGGAGAAGAAGAUGAGCAACCUUGACCGGGCCGCCCUCACAACACCCCGCCUCCCCUUCCAUUCUCGACCCGGUCUAAUGUGACAGAUUAGCCGAGAACCAGUGUAUUUCAUAGAAAUAUAUGAUCUUGUGUGUUCUCCUAUUAGCCUACGUCUGAGUCUGUAACUUAGGAUGUAUAGCUCCAUUGUCCCGUUGAAGUUUCGAGGUUUGCAGUGUGGCCACGUGUUCUAUUUAUUCAUUGAUGGGUUGGCUGUAUCAGAAUAUCCAAAUUGCAGGUGUGUUAUAAUAGAGAUUUUGUCCAUUGUCCAUCAGGACAAUAUAUUUUUCCCUACAUAUUUUGUUUGUUGGAUUAUCAUUCCCCUUGCUUGACUUAAUUCACCAGCUCAAACGAGCAAAGCUUAGCUUAUUUCUUCCUCCUGCUGAAGGUGGGGAUGUGAUCAAGAACCAGGCAAAGGCAAACAAAAUGUUACAUCCAAAAAUAGUAGAGAAGUCAAAAUGAAAACAUUAUACUUGGGGAAGUGCACUGAUACAACCGAACAGUUCUGCUUUAUUAACUUGAACAUGACUAAAUGAAGUAGAAACAAAUAUUGUGACACAUAUUUAGAUAGGGAAUGUGCACUAUUUUGGGCCAUAUUGAACUGCAGAAAUGAUAUGCUCUUUAGUAGAAAAAAUUUCACCAACUUUUUGUAGGUUAUUUACAGGGCCACUGCAUGGAUCCGUACGUGGUCGUUACUCACUCAUGCGGACUUCGAGGAGCUUUUGCCUACUAGGUGCAACCGCAGCUGGGAGAUGGUAGCACGGAUUAUCUUCAACCAAUUUGGAUGGCAAACUAAUAAUUAAUAGGCUAGGUGUUUAGUCAUUGUAGCCUAUUCUUUCACCGGCUGUGGCAUUUUCUAUUUUAUUUUGAUUUGGCUACUUUUGUGAGCCAAUACUGGACCUCAUAUUUUGUAUUCUACUUUCGUUAGAUAAUAUGGCUGCAUGCAUCACUUUGAUGUAUAGGCCGGGAGCUAUCCUCCUUUUCAAAAAAAAACUUGAACAUGACAUGGACAAAGCCAAAAAAGGAAUGGCCGACGAUUUUUUUUCCUUGAUUGGGGAUUGAUUGAUGGUUAGGUGGAUAUCACCACUAGGAAAAACGCUACCAGUAGCGUAGGUUUUUUGCAUACCAGUAGCGCGGGGUACCGCGCUACUGCUACGACGCUACAUCUAUUUUUUAGCGGUAGCGCGUUUUUUACCCCACGCUACAGCUAAAAAGUUAGUAGUAGCGCGUGCAACCCACGCUACUACUAUUCUGCACCUACGCUACUACUCUCUAAUUACUAGUAGCACACCAUUUUGCCCCAUGCUACUGCUAAUUAAUUAGAAAAUAAAAAAAUAAAAAUUAGAUGCAAUAUUCAUGGAUGGAAAUCAAGACACGUCUAGUGCAAAGGUCCCAUAACCAUCUUAGCAAUUGCAACGUUCAUGGAUGUAACAUUGAACAUCUCAACUCAAAGAGAUCAUGAGAUCCCAUUUAACAUCAGACGCGAAUAACCAGACCACUUCUCUAGAUGUAUCUGCCAAAGCCUCGGAGUUCAAACUCCGAUGGACCCGAACCCUCCCUCCCCCUGGAGGGUGGCGUUGGCGUCGAGGUCCUCCACCUUGGCGACCUCCAGCGUCGCAAUCACCUGGACGAUCAUCUGCGCGACGCAGUCUCCGGGCUUCACGACGAAGUCCGCCUCUGAGGGGUUGAAGAGCACGGCACCCACUGGGAUGUGGUAGUCCUGUGUUAUCUCUCCGGCUUGAAGAGCGUUUCCGGUGGCGUGGAGGUAGUCUUGUGUUACCUCUCCUGCUUGGUCGCCGUACCUACAAAAAGGAGAAGAAAUAUCAACGAUCCAAUCAACCGGCGGCAUCAAACGAUCAUGACUGCGCAAAAGAUUUUGGUUAUGACUAGUUGUUGUUGAACCAAAAACAUUUGAUGUUUUGAAAGCAUGGAUGCAAUGCAGUGUUUGUACAUUACAUGCGUUACAACUGAAGUUGUGACAACUGAUGAUGUUUGCAUCACGUUCUUGACCGAUACCUCAACAGCAUCACAUACUUUACGUGAACCAUUGAGCAAGUAAGGGACAACUAAUAAUAAUAUAUGAUGCAGCAACGGUUACGCAUAUCAAAUCUCUUGAACUAAUACAAAUAUAGUUCUGAUCACACAUUAGCUCUUAGAACUGUUUGACUUUUAUUUACAUUCAGGCAUCUUAACCCAGUGUACUCAAUAAUAGCAGUACACUAAAUACUUGGGAUUUGCUUGUGGAGGCCCAGUAAAACAUAAAAUCCAAAUCACAGCAUAUGAUUUCAUCUUAUCUGGUGGUUUGGUAAUGCGACUAUUAAUCUGAUCCAUCUUUGGAUCAAUAAAUUCCAUUUUUUUCGGAACAGAAUCACGAACUACCUAGACCAACUCAAAAGUUCAGAAAUUAUUGGCAGCUCUAAGAACUGUUUGACUUAAGUUAUGGCAACUUAACCCGGUGCACUCUAUAAUAGUACACUUAAUACCUGGGAUUUGCUUGGGAAGGCCCAAUUCUCAACGUAAAAAAAAUGUUUGGUAUUCUUCCUCAAACAUGAACAAAAUAAAAUUGUUUGGCUGAAAUAGAGUAAUCACGGAGUUUGAUCAGAAGUAUAUGAACAGUAGCACUAGUUUGUGGUGUUCACAAAUGAUUCAUUCUGAAAAUCUGUUCUCAUCAGAGAAGCAAAACUUUCCCGUAUACAAGAACAUAAAACCAUACUGAAGAGAUUACUUUUUAGUGAGCAUCCAUAUGUAGCAACUAGUCAAUAAGCAUUUAUGCUAAAAAAGCAAGCAACCACUAGAUUAAAAGAAACAGUUUAACAUGAGCACACUUAGCAACCACUAACUUAACAUUUUCCUCAAAUACUGCAUUUUAUUAAAUUGUUGUGGACAACCUAAAAACACAUUGAGAUUGUUAGCAGUGAUUAUAAUGAUUCCACCAAAAGCAUUAAAACAGAGAUCAUGAGAAGCAGCGGAUACCCAAGUUUCGAGCGCAUGCAUGCAUUGCCAAAAGACCUUGAAUGGACCUGGAUCUGUCUUGAACUGAUUCCCUUCAAAGGCAGCCUGCAAAUAAAUAAUAAGCAGACCAAAAUAUGUUCAUUUCAGACUUGGAAUUCACAUGAUGAAACACGGAGCCAAUGUCUGCCAUUUGUUGGAAGAGAUCCUGAACUCCACACCAGUCCAACUUAUGGCAAUUUAUAUCCUACACAAGCAUUUUAUUUCAUGAUAUCUCCAAAGUGGCCAGGUCAGCUACUACCAGUUUCAGAUAGUCCAUUGGUCAUUUCUAAUUGUGUUUUGGGGAUUCAACAUGCCACCGCCAUCACCAGCUUGAAAGCAGUAACCGCGGCAGAGGUAGGAUAGGAAUCAUCCUGGUUACGUGUUAUCGAACCACGCUGUUUACUUUGUGGCAGGCAACACUCUGUGCUUAACAUUUCUGAAUCACAUCUAAAGAGUUGGGAGUCUGACAGUAAAUUAACUAAACAUUCUGAUGACCCCCCCCCUCAUACUAGUAUAGUACAGGAGCUAAACUAGGCAUAAAACAACCAAAUGCCUAAUUGCAGGUGGUCACUAGUAUAGUACAGGAUCAUCUUUGCACCAGCGAUUUUAUAGAUAUCAUCUACACAUACAUGCCAGCUGAAGACCAGCAGUUGGUACCAAUCAGAGAGGGAGGGUAAGUGUCUAGGGAGGAGGAGACCUGAACUGAACGAAAUAUGCCCUAGAGGCAAUAAUAAAGUUAUUAUUUAUUUCCUUAUUUCAUGAUAAAUGUUUAUUAUUCAUGCUAGAAUUGUGUUAACCGGAAACAUAAUACAUGUGUUAGUACAUAGACAAACAAAGUGUCACUAGUAUGCCUCUACAUGACUAGCUCGUUGAUCAAAGAUGGUUAUGUUUCCUAGCCAUAGACAUGAGUUGUCAUUUGAUUAACGGGGUCACAUCAUUAGGAGAAUGAUGUGAUUGACUUGACCCAUUCCGUUAGCUUAGCACUUGAUUGUUUAGUAUGUUGCUAUUGCUUUCUUCAUGACUUAUACAUGUUCCUAUGACUAUGAGAUUAUGCAACUCCCGUUUACCGGAGGAGCACUUUGUGUGCUACCAAACGUCACAACGUAACUGGGUGAUUAUAAAGGUGCUCUACAGGUGUCUCCGAAGGUACUUGUUGGGUUGGCGUAUUUCGAGAUUAGGAUUUGUCAAUCCGAUUGUCGGAGAGGUAUCUCUGGGCCCACUCGGUAAUGCACAUCACUAUAAGCCUUGCAAGCAUUGCAACUAAUGAGUUAGUUGCGGGAUGAUGUAUUACGGAAGGAGUAAACAGACUUGCCGGUAACGAGAUUGAACUAGGUAUUGAGAUACCAACGAUCAAAUCUCGGGCAAGUAACAUACCGAUGACAAAGCGAACAACGUAUGUUGUUAUGCGGUCUGACCGAUAAAGAUCUUCGUAGAAUAUGUGGGAGCCAAUAUGAGCAUCCAGGUUCCGCUAUUGGUUAUUGACCGGAGACGUGUCUCGGUCAUGUCUACAUAAUUCUCGAACCCGUAGGGUCCGCACGCUUAAAGUUUCGAUGACAGUUAUAUUAUGAGUUUAUGUGUUUUGAUGUANNNNNNNNNNNNNNNNNNNNNNNNNNNNNNNNNNNNNNNNNNNNNNNNNNNNNNNNNNNNNNNNNNNNNNNNNNNNNNNNNNNNNNNNNNNNNNNNNNNNAGGAUCAUCUUUGCACCAGCGAUUUUAUAGAUAUCAUCUACACAUACAUGCCAGCUGAAGACCAGCAGUUGGUACCAAUCAGAGAGGGAGGGUAAGUGUCUAGGGAGGAGGAGACCUGAACUGAACGAAAUAUGCCCUAGAGGCAAUAAUAAAGUUAUUAUUUAUUUCCUUAUUUCAUGAUAAAUGUUUAUUAUUCAUGCUAGAAUUGUGUUAACCGGAAACAUAAUACAUGUGUUAGUACAUAGACAAACAAAGUGUCACUAGUAUGCCUCUACAUGACUAGCUCGUUGAUCAAAGAUGGUUAUGUUUCCUAGCCAUAGACAUGAGUUGUCAUUUGAUUAACGGGGUCACAUCAUUAGGAGAAUGAUGUGAUUGACUUGACCCAUUCCGUUAGCUUAGCACUUGAUUGUUUAGUAUGUUGCUAUUGCUUUCUUCAUGACUUAUACAUGUUCCUAUGACUAUGAGAUUAUGCAACUCCCGUUUACCGGAGGAGCACUUUGUGUGCUACCAAACGUCACAACGUAACUGGGUGAUUAUAAAGGUGCUCUACAGGUGUCUCCGAAGGUACUUGUUGGGUUGGCGUAUUUCGAGAUUAGGAUUUGUCAAUCCGAUUGUCGGAGAGGUAUCUCUGGGCCCACUCGGUAAUGCACAUCACUAUAAGCCUUGCAAGCAUUGCAACUAAUGAGUUAGUUGCGGGAUGAUGUAUUACGGAAGGAGUAAACAGACUUGCCGGUAACGAGAUUGAACUAGGUAUUGAGAUACCAACGAUCAAAUCUCGGGCAAGUAACAUACCGAUGACAAAGCGAACAACGUAUGUUGUUAUGCGGUCUGACCGAUAAAGAUCUUCGUAGAAUAUGUGGGAGCCAAUAUGAGCAUCCAGGUUCCGCUAUUGGUUAUUGACCGGAGACGUGUCUCGGUCAUGUCUACAUAAUUCUCGAACCCGUAGGGUCCGCACGCUUAAAGUUUCGAUGACAGUUAUAUUAUGAGUUUAUGUGUUUUGAUGUACCGAAGGUAGUUCGGAGUCCCGGAUGAGAUCGGGGACAUGAGUCUCGAAAUGGUCGAGACGUAAAGAUCGAUAUAUUGGACGACUAUAUUCGGACAUCGGAAAGGUUCCGAGUGAUUCGGGUAUUUUUGGGGGUACCGGAGAGUUACGGGAAUUCGUAUUGGGCCUUAAUGGGCCAUACGGGAAAGGAGAAAAAGACCUCAAAGGGUGGCCGCACGCCUCCCCAUGGAUUGGUCCGAAUUGGACUAGGGAGGGGGGCACCCCCUUCCUUCCUUCUCUUUUUUCCUUCCCUUCUCCUACUACAACAAGGACAGGAGGAAUCCUACUCCCGGUAGGAGUAGGACUCCCCCCUUGGCGCGCCCUCCUUGGCGGGCCGCCUCUCCCCCCUUGCUCCUUUGUAUACGGGGGCAGGGGGCACCUCUAGAGACAAAACAAUUAAUUGUUUGAUCUUUUAGCCGUGUGUGGUGCCCCCCUCCACCAUAGUACACCUCGAUAAUACUGUAGCGGUGCUUAGGCGAAGCCCUGCGUCGGUAGAACAUCAUCAUCGUCACCACGCCGUCGUGCUGACGAAACACUCCCUCAACACUCGGCUGGAUUAGAGUUCGAGGGACGUCAUCGUGCUGAACGUGUGCUGAACUCGGAGGUGCCGUGCGUUCGGUACUUGAUCGGUCGGAUCGUGAAAACAUACGACUACAUCAACCGCGUUGUGCUAACGCUUCCGCUUUCGGUCUACGAGGGUACGUGGACAAUGAUGAAGUUAUGUACCUAGGGUAGGGUCAUGGACCUGUCCAAGAUACCCUCCCCAAGGACAUCUCCAAAAGAACCAGAAACAUUCGAAGAAGAAUCAUCGUCCACUCGACCAUGAAGCUAUGUUCCACUCGACAGCCUUGAAGACACUCGACCACGUAGACAGUCACUCGACUACCGGGAGAUCUAAAGCCACUCUGCUCUACAACGGUCGGGAAUUAAGUCAUAGCUUUAAUGGUCAUUAUGUAUCUUUAUUACUGGCGUUACCAGUAACGCCCUCCUCUUAAUGUACAUUGAACCUUGUGUAACAGAGGGGAGUUGGGGUCCUGGCGCACUCUAUAUAAGCCACCCCCUCCUCUGGGACAAGGGUUCGCACCCCGUGUGACUCACACGCUCAUAAUCCAGUCGACCGCCUCCGGGCUCCGAGACGUAGGGCUAUUACUUCCUCCGAGAAGGGCCCGAACUCGUAAAACUUGCGUGUACAACUCCUCCAUAGCUAGGAUCUUGCCUCUACAUUCCUACCCCCCAUUCUACUGUCAGACUUAGAACCACGACAGUUGGCGCCCACCGUGGGGCGGAUGUCUUAGUGACUUGUUGGAGAAGUUGCGAUUUUUCCGAUCUCCUUCAUCAUGGUUUCAGGCGGAGGUUUGGCUGAGCGCCGCGAGAUCCGUCUCGGCGCGCUCGUGUUUGUCGCCGACGACUCCGCUUGGCUUCAGGAGGCUCCACUCGACGUCGAUGCACUCCCCGUCCGCGGGGCAACACACUUUCGCGCGUGCGUCCGUGGCGUCCUCCUGCGGCAGCCUUCGACCCAGUAUCGGUCGGCUCCUAUAGCUUCCUCCCUCUCUGUCACUCGCCGGCGCAAGCGUUCCGUUCGCUCAAGGCUUCAGCGAUGGGUGAGGCAUGCGGUGGCUCGCCAAUCGGCCACCCCUCAAGUCGCGGUGAUUGAGCCCGACGAAAUUCUCUACGGCCUGUUCGACCUGUCGACUGGCUCCACAGAGACUGCAUCCGAGUGCGACAGCAGUGAUCCCGCGGCGGAGGUCUUGAUGGUCGAUGGACCUCGCAGUCCUCCCAGCUUCCCUCGCGCCGACGGAGGCGAUGACAGAGGCGAUCCGUUGCAUGCCCAUGAGGAGUACCUCCCCGAGCCCCUCUCUUCGCAGCAGAGGGAAGAACUUCGCCGCCGGAACAUGGAUGCACUUCACACUCCUAUCGUUGGAGAAACCCCUGAGGCCGGGGCCUUGGAGGACACUUGCCUAACCAACCUGGCUGAGCGCACUCGACUGGAGAACCUCCAGCACGUACUCGACGAGCGUGCGUGUCAACGGGUUCCAGAAUCCAGUCAACAUCAACUUUUUCCACCUCCGACUCAGAUAUAUCGAACUCCGAUUCAGAAUCUUACAGCUGCAGCUCGAAUAGCAGAGUCAAUUCAGCCCUCCCAGUCAGAAGCUGACAGAGGUCUGAUGCAGAUCAGAGCUUUACUCCCGGCAGCGGGAGAACAGAAUACAGCUAUGUCACAGUCGCGGAAUAGGAUCCAUAGCAGGUCCGUUAUGGUAGAUACAGUCCAGUCGGCUCACAGCCCAAGAUCGCCCCCGAGGCGUGAGGGACGUGAAGACCGGCGUGAUCAGUACAGAAAUCAUGAGCAGUAUGAUCACCGACUCGGUCAUGACGAUCAUCGUCGAGUGCCCACACCUUCCCCAAGGAGUGGGUCGUACGUGCCUCGGCAGCAUGAUGACAGACGCCCUCACACUGUUGGGCGAAGAAUUCCAGUCGACCCCAGGGAGCCAGGCUUUGAUGCGAGAUCUAUUCUUGUUCAGGGUUUGGUCGACAGAAACAGAGCUCACUGGGAAGGUCAUGAUAGGGAUUUACCAACCAGCAGCAGAGUGCAUAUCUCAGGUCCAGAGUGCUUCAGCAGAGCCAUCAGGGCCACAGUGAUUCCUCCCAACUUUAGGUUGGCGACUGGAGUCAGUAAGUUCACUGGUGAGUCCAAGCCUGACACUUGGCUUGAGGACUACCGAGUGGCUGUUCAGAUUGGCGGCGACAAUGAUGAGGUGGCCAUGAAACACCUUCCUCUGAUGUUGGAGGGCUCGGCCAGAGCAUGGUUGAAUCAAUUAGCACCCAGCAGCAUUUACAGUUGGGAAGAUCUUGCGUGGGUGUUUGUCAGAACAUUUGAAGGAACAUGCAAGCGGCCAGCAGGGUUGACAGAGCUGCAAUCUUGUGUGCAGAAGCCGAAUGAAACUUUGAGGGAUUAUAUCCAGAGAUGGAUCAUGUUGCAUCACACGUUCAAGAAUGUGUCUGAUCACCAAGCAGUUUGUGCCUUCAAAGAAGGCGUCAAGUACCGAGAGUUGAAUCUGAAGUUUGGUCGGACCGGAGAUAUGUCUCUGAGUCGAAUGAUGGAGAUUGCCACCAAGUAUGCCAAUGGUGAAGAGGAGGAUCGGCUCCGGAGUGGCAAACACAAAACAGUCGCCCACGAAACCGGAGGAGGAAACUCCAGUCAGAAGCAGAAGCGCAAAGCUGAGCCAGCUGCUCCUGGAGAAACCUUAGCCAUCACUGAAGGAAAAUCCAAAGGGAAGCCAAAAGGGCCAUGGAACCCUAAGAAAAUAAAAGACCAAGAUGGAAAUGAUGUGCUAGAUUUGCCGUGCCACAUCCACACAAAGAAAGAUGAAGAGGGUAAAAUCAUUUACCCGAAGCAUACCACUCGACAGUGUCGGCUCCUAAUCCAGCAGUUCCAAGAGAAACAGCCCAAGGAGAAGGAAAAUGAGUCUGACAAGGUUGAGGACAAGGAGGAAAGUGAUGAUGGUUACCAUCACGUCAAUUCCACUCUGAUGAUUUUUGCUGAUGUUGAGAGCAAGAGUCGACUGAAAGUCAUCAACAGAGAAGUGAACACGGUCGCUCCGGCGACGCCCAGUUAUUUGAAAUGGUCUCAGACUGCUAUCACAUUCGAGCAGUCCGAUCACCCGAUGCACAUAGCCACCCCUGGGAGGCAAGCAUUGGUGGUCGACCCAGUUGUCGAAGGCACUCGACUGACCAAAGUUUUGAUGGAUGGUGGCAGUGGCCUGAAUAUUCUGUAUGCAGAGACGCUGAAAGGGAUGGGCAUUCCGAUGUCCAGACUCAGUGAAAGCAAUAUGAGUUUCCAUGGAGUCAUUCCAGGCAAGAAGGCUGAGUCACUCGGCCAGAUUGCUCUUGAUGUAGUUUUCGGUGAUUCCAAGAAUUACCGCAAAGAAAAGUUGACAUUUGAAGUUGUGGAUUUCCAGAGUGCUUAUCACGCUAUUUUGGGCAGGCCAGCUUAUGCACGUUUUAUGGCUCGACCAUGCUAUGUGUACCUCAAAUUGAAGAUGCCUGGUCCUAAGGGUGUGAUCACUAUCACUGGUAAUAGAAAGAAGGAAGAAGAAUGCUUCCAGAAAGGCUCGAAGAUCGCCGAUGCGCAGAUGGCAGUAGUAGAAUUGCAGGAGUAUCAGAAAAAUGCAGAUCCGAGUGAUUUGCUGCGGGCUAAGAAGCCUGCCACGGAUUCAUCAUUUCAGUCGUCCGUUGAAACGAAACCGAUUCAUAUUCACCCGACUGAUCCCAAUGCUGCUCCGACUCACAUUUCAACAACACUUGACUCCAAAUAGGAAGAAGCGCUCACCCAGUUCCUCCGUGAGAACUGAUACAUCUUUGCAUGGAAACCCUCUGACAUGCCAGGUGUUCCCAGGGGACUGGCUGAGCAUCGUUUGCGAGUUGACCCAAAAGUGAAACCGGUCAAAGAACAUCUUCGACGGCCCGCCAUACAGAAGAGAAAAUAAAUAGGUGAAGAAGUAGCUCGGCUUCUGGCAGCUGAGUUUAUUCGAAAGAUUUACCACUCCGAGUGGUUAGCUAAUGUUGGCAUGGUCCCUAAGAAGGAUGACUCACUUCGUAUGUGCAUCGACUUCAAGCAUAUCAAUCGGGCCUGCCCGAAGGAUCAGUUUCCUCUCCCUCGCAUCGAUCAAAUAGUCAAUUCGAAUGCGAGGUGUGAGCGUUUAUCCUUUUUGUACGCUUAUUCCGGGUAUCAUCAGAUCCGUCUGUAUGGACCCGAUGAGAUUAAAACAGCUUUCAUCACCCCCAUUCGGGUGCUUCUGUUAUGUCACUAUGCCAUUCGGCCUGAAGAACGCUGGAGCCACAUUCAUGCGGAUGAUUCAGAAGUGUUUACUCACUCAAAUCAGUCGGAAUGUGGAAGCGUACAUGGAUGAUAUUGUGGUCAAGUCACGUAAAGGUUCCGACCUACUGGCUGACCUUGCUGAAACCUUUGCCAACCUCAGAAGGUAUGAUAUCAAGCUUAAUCCAUCGAAGUGCAUGUUCGGAGUUCCAUGAGGGAAAUUACUCGGUUUUCUCGUUUCCAAACGAGGAAUCGACGCUAACCCCGAGAAAGUCGGUGCCCAACUCCGGAUGAAACGCCCUAUGCGUGUGCAUUAUGUCCAGAAGCUUACUGGUUGUUUGGCCGCCCUAAGUCGAUUCAUUUCUCGACUCGGUGAGAAGGCACUGCCUCUCUACCGACUGAUGAAGAAGUAAGAUAAGUUCAAGUGGACUCCUGAAGCUGAUGCAGCAUUUGCAGAGCUAAAAGCCCUGCUUUCCACCCAGCCGGUGCUUGCUGCCCCAAUCAGCAAAGAGCCUUUACUGCUUUAUAUUGCAGCCACUGGACAAGUCUUCAGUACAAUACUUACGAUCGAACGAGAAGAAGAGGGAAAAGCCUAUAAAGUUCAGCGCCUGGUCUAUUAUGUUUCUGAAGUUCUGACUCCGUCAAAGCAGAGAUAUCCACACUAUCAGAAGCUUGUUUAUGGGAUUUACAUGACCACGAAGAAGGUUGCACACUAUUUCUCUGAGCACUCCAUUACAGUCAUCAGCAACGCUCCAUUGUCGGAGAUUCUACACAACAGAGAUGCAACUGGUCGAGUGGCAAAAUGGGCGAUUGAACUCCUUCCCUUGGAUAUCAAGUUUGAGGCAAAGAAAGCUAUCAAGUACCAAGCAAUAGCAGAUUUCCUCGCCGAGUGGAUCGAACAACAACUGCCGACUCAAGUUCACUCGGAGCAUUGGACCAUGUUCUUUGAUGGUUCCAAGAUGCUGAAUGGUUCUGGUGCUGGGGUGGUACUAGUAUCCCCCCGAGGAGACAAGCUCAGAUAUGUCCCCCAGAUUCACUUUGAUUCUUCCAAUAACGAAGCAGAAUAUGAAGCACUCUUAUAUGGGUUGCGUAUGUCCAUUUCAUUCGGCGUCCGUUGCCUUAUGGUCUAUGGCGACUCAGAUUUGGUAGUCAAUCAAGUGAUGAAAGAGUGGGACGUCAGAAGCCCAGCCAUGACUGGUUACUGCAAUGCGGUGAGGAAGUUGGAAAAGAAGUUUGAGGGGUUAGAGCUCCAUCAUAUACCCCGACUGAAAAAUCGAGCAGCCGAUGAUUUGGCAAAGAUAGGUUCCAAGAGAGAAGCCAUUCCCAACAAUGUGUUUUUGGAGCACAUUCACACGCCGUCAGUUCAGGAAGAUCCUUUCACUGAAGAGCCCCCGCAGCCUAAGAGCGCCACUGAUCCGACUGAGGUCGAGGUCCCAGCCAUGGUCGACCUAAUCAUGGAGGUUUUGGUCAUCACUCCAGACUGGACAGUGCCAUACAUUGCGUACAUCCUUAGGAAGGAACUCCCAAAGGAUGAAGAAGAGGCUCGACAGAUCGUCCGUCGAUCCAAAGCCUUCACUAUGAUAAGAGGACAACUGUUCAGGGAAAGCGCGACUGGGGUCAGUCAGAAAUGCAUAACACCAGAAGAAGGUCGAAUGAUCCUCAACGACAUCCACUCGGGGACCUGUGGUCGCCAUGCGUCCUCUCGGGCCAUUGUGGCUAAAGCAUACCGAGCCGGAUUUUAUUGGCCACGAGCAAAUGAAAUGGCGAAAGAUAUAGUCGACAGAUGUGAAGGCUGGCAGUUUUACUCCAAUAUGUCUCACAAGCCAGUGUCAGCUCUGAAGACCAUUCCCCUCGUCUGGCCCUUUGCUGUUUGGGGAUUGGAUAUGGUUGGACCACUGAGAACUGGUAGGAGCGGCUUCACUCAUGUGCUUGUAGCAGUCGACAAGUUUACCAAAUGGAUUGAAGCUAAACCUAUCAAGAAUCUUGAAGCCAGCACUGCUGUCAGUUUCAUCAGAGAAUUGACACUCAGAUAUGGAGUUCCGCACAGCAUCAUCACUGACAACGGGUCGAACUUUGAUUCUGAUGAGUUUAGAGCUUUCUGCGCUUCUCAAGGCACACGAGUCGACUAUGCUUCAGUCGCUCACCCGCAGUCGAAUGGACAAGCAGAAAGAGCAAAUGGCCUAAUUCUCAAAGGACUGAAACCCCGACUGAUGUGUGAUCUCAAACACGCAGCAGGCGCCUGGGUCGAUGAACUUCCAUCAGUUCUUUGGGGUUUCAGGACAACUCCCAAUCGGUCGACUGGACAAACUCCUUUCUUUUUGGUCUAUGGAGCCGAAGUUGUUCUGCCAAGUGACCUGCUCCACAACGCACCCCGAUUCGAGCUCUUCUCUGAAGAGGAAGCAGAACAGGCCCGGCAGGAUUCAGUCGAUCUCUUAGAGGAGGAAAGAGAAAUGGCCUUGAUCCGGUCGACCAUUUAUCAGCAAGACUUGCGUCGAUUCCACGCCGGAAACAUGAGGGGUCGAGCCUUUCAAGAAGGAGACUUGGUUCUCCGAGUGCAUCAACAGAAGCCACACAAGCUUGCCACUGCUUGGGAAGGCCCCUUCAUUAUCACCAGAGUUCUCCACAAUGGAGCAUACCAUCUUUACAAUGUCGAGCAUCAGAAAGACGAGCCACGAGCUUGGAAUGCGGAGCAGCUCCGCCCCUUUUAUACUUAAGUACUCACUCGGAUGAGAUGUAAUAAGAAAGACCUUUGUAGUUUGUUUAUCAAAGUCAAGAGCUUUAUAAUCUUCCUAAACAACUGUUGUUGCUUUUGUUUGCGUUUGAAAUCCCCCAGUGGGUGACUUAGCUGCGAAUCCGUUUCGCCUAAGUUUGAAAAAUCCCACCGAGUGGUGAGCAAGCCUCUCACUCGGGGGCUUAGCUACGAAUCAGUUUCGCCUAAAUUUGAAAAAAUCCUACCGAGUGAUGAGCAAGCCUCUCACUCGGGGGCUUAGCUGCAGUCCAAUACUCGCCUAAGUUUGAAAAAAUCCUACCGAGUGAUGAGCAAGCCUCUCACUCGGGGGCUUAGCUGCAGUCCAGUACUCGCCUAAGUUUGAAAAAAUCCUACCGAGUGAUGAGCAAGCCUCUCACUUGGGGGCUUAGCUACAGUCCAGUACUCGCCUAAGUUUGAAAAAAUCCUACCGAGUGAUGAGCAAGCCUCUCACUUGAGGGCUUAGCUGCAGUCCAGUACUUGCCUAAGUUUGAAAAAUUCCUACCAAGUGGUGAGCAAGCCUCUCACUCGGGGGCUUAGCUGCAGUCCAGUACUCGCCUAAGUUUGAAAAAUCCUACCGAGUGGAGAGCAACCCUCCCACUCGGGGGCUUAGCUGCAGUCCAGUACUCGCCUAAGUUUGAAAAAUUCUACCGAGUGGAGAGCAACCCUCUCACUCGGGGGUUUAGCUGCAGUCCAGUACUCGCCUAAGUUUGAAAAAUCCUACCGAGUGGAGAGCAACCCUCCUACUCGGAGGCUUAGCUGCAGUCCAGUACUCGCCUAAGUGUGAAACACAUCCCUAUCCGCAAGGAAGACGAGGUGCAGGUCGACUGCAACCUUCUCCUUCAGAGCUGCACCACAAGUACAAUGUGCGCUCCAUCCCUAUCCGUAAGGACGACGAGUUGCAGGUCGACUGCAACCUUCUCCUUCGGAGCUACGCCACAAGUACAAUGUGCGCUCAAUCCCUAUCCGCAAGGACGAUGAGGUGCAGGUCGACUGCAACUUUCUCCUUCGGAGCUGCGCCACAAGUACAAUGUGCGCUCCAUGCCUAUUCGCAAGGACGACGAGGUGCAGGUCGACGACAACCUUCUCCUUUGGAGCUGCUCCACAAGUACAAUGUGCGCUCCAUCCCUAUCCGCAAGGACGACAAGGUGCAGGUCGACUGCAACGUUCUCCUUUGGAGCUACACCACAAGUACAAUGUUCGCUCCAUCCCUAUCCGCAAGGACGACGAGGUGCAGGUCGACUGGAGUCUCCACCUCAAAGCUGCAUCUCAAAUAUAGAAAUUAUUCCGAGUGAAGAACAAAUUCCACUCGAAGGCAAACGUAAGCAUAUUCGAAAAUAAAUCAAAUUCAGAUGAACCCUAAAAGUUCAAGACCGCGGAUCAAAGUACUCGGGCAUUCAGCCCAAAAGAGUUUAACGGUUACAAAAACCACUCAGCAUCCCGAAGAAAAUUUAAGGUGUAGCAUAAAAGUUUAUUCAGUCCGCAGGAGGAGGGCUGGCAGGCUCGAUGAACUCGUCUAGGUCAACACCAUCGGCGAUCCGAGUGGCGGCAGCAAUGAAAGUCUCCAUAAAGGAUCGAAAAUCAUGCCUCUUGGUGUUGGCGACCUUGAUCGCUGCCAGCUUAUCUUCUCGCGCUUCUUUGCAAUGGACACAAACCAAAGACAGAGCCACAUCAGCACCGCACCGGGCAGAAGACUUCUUCCACUCCUGCACUCGACCAGGGAUCUCGUUAAGUCGGGUCAUCAGAGACUCGAGGUCAUUCUGGAGCGUUGCCCUUGGCCAGAGUGUUGUGUCGAUCCGCGACAUGGCGACCUUCAGUCGAGCAAGGUAGUCAACAACACCGUCGAAGCGAGAUUCCAGUCGGAGCAAGUUCAUAGCAGCUUCAUCUUUCACGGGGGAGUUGAUGGGGUCCAAGCUUGCUUCAAUUCGCCCGGUAUCCUCCUCAAAGUCUCGGCAAAACUCUGCAUGCACAAUCCGAGGGUGACUCAAAAGUCGUAUGCCGAGUCGACGAAGAUAAACCAGUCGGAACAAAGUAUAUACCUUCAAGCUUGAUGAACAGCUUCUUGGCAAGGCUCCUCAGAUAACUUUCCAGAUUAUCCCUCCUGCGAGCAAUGCCUUCCAUCUUCUCGUUCAGAUUGACCUUGUCCUUCUUGAAGCGGGUUACUUCCUUGUUGGCUUCGUCCAGGGCAGAUUUUAUCUUGGCGUUCUCUUCCUCCAUUUGUCGGCUGAAGCCAACUUCUGUUCAGCUAGAGCAGUUUUGUCAUCAGCCUUCUUCUGUGCGGCAACCAUAUCUUGAUCCCUUUUUGCCAGAGCCUCGUUCAGUUUUUCUGAAAAGAAAUGAUGCUUGGUUUAGAAAGAGCAGAAUGAAAUUUAGAUCAAAGACAAACCAGUCAACAAGUCUGUCUUACCAUUGGCGUCAUCCUUGGCUUUCUGCAGUUCUGUCUUGGCCAACUUCAGGUCAAGGUUGAGUUGAAUCUGUUGUUUCUCCAAGUCAGCAAAGCGAGCUCCAAUAUCACAAGAUUUGUGCAAUCAAGGAAUGGGUCAGUCGACUCGAUAAAGGAUGGGUUGUUUCAGAGAGGUAAAAGGACAAAGACAAUAAAUUCUAAGACUACUGUCGAAUCAAACAUCCAACAGUAGUCUCGGGGACUACACCCAGUGGGUGCAUUUAGCGUGUCCCCACUAGUUCAGUUUACACUCGACAAGACCUUUCCAACGCAAGUGAAAAAAAAAGAAAGAGACAGCAACAAACAAACUCUUCAGACCAUAGUCGACUACCAGCAGUCGACCACGAUCUCGGGGACUACACCCAGUGGGUGCACUUAGCGUGCCCCCACUGGUUCAGUUUACACUCGACAUGGCCUGACCAGACCGAGUGAAGGAAUUCAAAAUUCAAGACUACAGUCGACUGCCCACAGUCCACCAUAGUCUCGGGGACUACACCCAGUGGGUGCACUCAGCGUGCCCCCACUAGUCCUAAAAUUCAAUCGACGACAACAAAAAGUUCAGUUCAAAGUAUGAAUCUGUUCAGCGACAAAUCGAAACACCCAGUAGGUGUACAGAUGCAAACAUCCUUGGAAAGAGAGUUUUUUAGGUACUGUAUCCUAGACAGAACAAGCCAAGAGAGUCAGUCGACAUUCUGCUAACCUGAACAUUACUCUAGAGAGCCGAGCUGGCAUCAUAAGCAGCCUGGCUGGCAUCCCGCACCAUCUUCAUCUUCUCCAUCAUAAUACUUGCUUGGCGUAUAGCUUCUUUGGCAGCAUUCACUUCGUCCUCUGGGACGUGAUGGGUGGCAAAAACUGAAGCUGGAUCGGCAGGAGCUUGAGCAGUCGACGCAGAAGGUAGAGCACUCGACAACGGUAUGGCGAAGGAAACAGAAGUCCGAUUGGCGUCACCGGCGUCCUGAAUGACUGGUUCCGCCACCGGCGUCGACUGAGGCGUCUUGCCAGCGGACGUUUUCCUGUUCCUCCUCGUCAAUGGCCUCUCUGGCUUGUCCUCAUCAUCGUCGGGGAGGUCAAUAACGUAGGGAGCUGUUAAAAGAUCAGUCGCCAAAAUUACAUCGCCCGAUUGGAUAUAUGACAGUUCAAUCGACCAAAACAAGACAGAAUGACGAAGAUCGUACCUAGACUAGAGACCGCAUCUUCCAUUUCAUCAUCCUCAUCCUUAUAAUCUGAAGUCCCAGAGGUAGCAGCACUGCCAGUUUCAAGAUUCAUUUGGUCAAAUCAAAGGAAAAAUAAACAGCACAGAGCGUCGAGUGAAUGCGAAAGAAAAAGACUCACGCAGAAGCAACAGGGAUAUCAAUCUUAAUCUUCGGCAACACCUUCCGAGGCUUCUGCACUACAACCUUGGACUGCUUUGGGGCUUUCUCAGUCGGUGCCGGAGAGGACGUCCGAGGACACUUUGAAGACUGGCCAGUCUGAGCGAUCUGCUUUUCACGGGCGCUCGCCCGGUCUUGGUCGAGCUUGGAUCGCCUCUCCCUGCGAGGAGGCGAGUCGACUUCUUCUUCAUCACUCGAGUCAUCACUCUCCUCGUUCCCCUCUCCGUCAGAAUGCCACUCGCCACAUUCGACUCUGCUUGCCUCCCCCUCCGGAUUUUACUCCUGCUCUCCGUUGGGCAUCGAGUACAUUUCGGUAAGGGCCUCGAAGAAAGCAAGCAGAACAAAGUCAGUCGACGAAGCAUAAACAGCUGCACAAUUAAAUCUAGAUUACAGUCAGAAGUUCAGAAUUAGACCUUAUCUGGUUCGUAAGACUGGUCAAGUGGAGGAAUUCUCCUGGCUCCCCUGGGGUUAUCUUUUUUUCCAGUGAUGCUCGUCAGCCACCCCUCCAACGUGGUCUUGUUGACCUCCUCCGGAUGGGUCCGAGUGGUGUCACCAGUACCCGAAUACAUCCACAUCGGAUGGUCUCGAGCUUGAAGCGGUUGGAUGCGUUGCCGGAGGAAUACCUCCAACAAAUCCAUAUCGGCCACCCCGUCACGGACGAUCUGAACUACUCGCUCGACCAGCACCUUAACUUGCGCCUUCUCCUCCGGGAUCACUUUCAAAGGGGAGGGCUUCCCCACUCGGGCCAUGGAAAAAGGAGGAAGUCCAGUCGACUGCCCUGGAGUCGGCUGGUCUUUGCAGUAAAACCAAGUCGACUGCCAUCCGCGGACCGAAUCGGGAAGAAUCAUGGCUGGAAAGGAACUUUUGCCUCUCAUAUGGACCCCAAGACCCCCGCACAUCUGAAUCACUUGUGUCCUCUCGUCACUCGGAUUGGCCUUUUUCACCGUCUGAGAGCGACAGGUGAAAAUGUGCUUGAAAAGGCCCCAAUGAGGUCGGCAGCCCAAGAAAUUCUCGCACAAAGACACAAAGGCAGCAAGGUACACGAUUGUGUUGGGAGUAAAGUGCUGGAGUUGCGCCCCAAAGAAAUUCAAGAAACCCCAAAAGAAGGUGUGGGGAGGCAAGGAAAACCCACGGUCGACGUGAGUGGCGAGGAGAACGCACUCACCCUCCCAAGGUUGCGGCUCAGUCUCGUUCCCCGGAAGCCGCGCCGAUUCGUGGGGGAUCAGUCCUUCCUCGACCAAGUCGUCGAUGUCGUCCUGACGAAUCACCGAGAGGAUCCAGUCUCCCUGGAUCCAGCCCUGCGGCAGGCCGGCCCUCGAGGAAGAUCCGCCCUGGCUGGACUUCUUCCCCUUCGCCUUUGAUGUCGCCUUCUUCGCCCGCUCCAGAGCCACCGUCUUCUCUUUCCCCAUUGUCGCAGGUGAAACGCGAAUGGAGCAAUGACACUGGGGCGAGAACAGGCAUGGCAGAGAAGUCUGAGGAGGAGGGGGAAGAAUGAAAACACACUGUUCAAAAACCCCGGCCUGGCUCCAUAUAUGAGGUUACUUCCGAGUGACUAACUUGUAGGCCCAGACGGUCUUAUCAAAUCCCGCAACAGUCACGCAUGCGAUACGUGGCGAAAAAGGCGGCACGGAAAUUGGGGCGGCCCUGCCUUAUCCCAUCUGAUUACUGCGGCCUCCUCUGCCCCACGCACUUCCCGAAAUUCGAAUCCCGCGAAAUCCGCAGACAGCAGAACAACUUGUCAGGCGGAAGAUCUCCUCCACAUCAUCACUCGGAGCUCUUCCAUUAAAAGAUCACUCGACAAAAACUAAGAAUGGAUCAAGGCGACUGAAAAAGAAGUUGAUGUCGUCACCUCGGUUCAUUGAUUCAGAACAAGAUAUACUCAUAGCACGAAAAAUGGGUCGGAAGUGUUCUCAACUCCUUCCUCACUCAAAGCCUGAUCCAUUCAGCGGCUAAUGAUGAAGUUAUGUACCUAGGGUAGGGUCAUGGACCUGUACAAGAUACCCUCCCCAAGGACAUCUCCAAAAGAACCAGAAACAUUCGAAGAAGAAUCAUCGUGCACUUGACCAUGAAGCUAUGUUCCACUCGACAGCAUUGAAGACACUUGACCACGUAGACAGUCACUCGACUACCGGGAGAUCUAAAGCCACUCUGCUCUACAACAGUCGGGAAUUAAGUCAUAGCUUUAAUGGUCAUUAUGUAUCUUUAUUACUGGCGUUACCAGUAACGCCCUCCUAUUAAUGUACAUUGAACCUUGUGUAAUGGAGGGGAGUUGGGGUCCUGGCGCACUCUAUAUAAGCCACCCCCUCCUCUGGAACAACGCACCCCCUGUAACUCACACGCUCAUAAUCCAGUCGACCGCCUCCGGGCUCCGAGACGUAGGGCUAUUACUUCCUCCGAGAAGGGCCUGAACUCGUAAAACUUGCGUGUACAACUCCUCCAUAGCUAGGAUCUUGCCUCUACAUUCCUACCCCCCAUUCUACUGUCAGACUUAGAACCACGACAGACAAUGCUCUACCCUCUCGUUGCUAUGCAUCACCAUGAUCUUGCGUGUUCGUAGGAAUUUUUUUAAAUUACUACGUUUCCCCAACAGUGGCAUCUGAGCCAGGUUUUAUGCGUAGAUGUCAUAUGCACGAGUAGAGCACAAGUGAGUUGUGGGCGAUAUAAGUCAUACUGCUUACCAGCAUGUCAUACUUUGGUUCGGCGAUAUUGUUGGAUGAAGCGGCCCGGACCGACAUUACGCAUACGCUUACGCGAGACUGGUUCUACCGACGUGCUUUGCACAUAGGUGGCUGUCGGGUGUCAGUUUCUCCAACUUUAGUUGAACCGAGUGUGGCUACGCCCGGUCCUUGCGAAGGUUAAAACAGCACCAACUUGACAAACUAUCGUUGUGGGUUUGAUGCGUAGAUAAGAACGGUUCUUGCUAAGCCCGUAGCAGCCACGUAAAACUUGCAACAACAAAGUAGAGGACGUCUAAGUUGUUUUUGCAGGGCAUGUUGUGAUGUGAUAUGGUCAAGACAUGAUGCUCAAUUUAUUGUAUGAGAUUAUCAUGUUUUGUAACCGAGUUAUCGGCAACUGGCAGCCAUAUGGUUGUCGCUUUAUUGUAUGCAAUGCAAUCGCCCUAUAAUGCUUUACUUUAUCACUAAGCGGUAGCGAUGGUCGUAGAAGCAUAAGAUUGGCGAGACGACAAUGAUGCUACGAUGGAGAUCAAGGUGUCGCGCCGGUGACGGUGGUGAUCAUGACGGUGCUUCGGAGAUGGAGAUCACAAGCACAACGAUGAUGAUGGCCAUAUCAUAUCACUUAUAUUAUGAUUGCAUGUGAUGUUUAUCUUUUAUACAUCUUAUUUUGCUUAGUUCGGUGGUAACUUUAUAAGAUGAUCUCUCACUAAAUUUCAAGGUAUAAGUGUUCUCCCUGAGUAUGCAUCGUUGCCAAAGUUCAUCGUGCCCAGACACCACGUGAUGAUCAGGUGUGAUAAGCUCUACGUCCAUCUACAACCGGUGCAAGCCAGUUUUGCACACGCAGAAUACUCAGGUUAAACUUGACGAGCCUAGCAUAUGCAGAUAUGGCCUCGGAACACUGAGACCGAAAGGUCGAGCGUGAAUCAUAUAGUAGAUAUGAUCAACAUAGUGAUAUUCACCAUUGAAAACUACUCCAUCUCACGUGAUGAUCGGUCAUGGUCUAGUUGAUUUGGAUUACGUGAUAAUUUAGAUGACUAGAGGGAUGUCUAUCUAAGUGGGAGUUCUUAAAUAAUAUGAUUAAUUGAACUUCAAUUUAUCAUGAACUUAAUCCUGGUCGUAUUAGCAUAUCUAUGUUGUAGCUCAAUAGCUCGCAAUGUUGCUCCUUGUUUAAUUUUUAUAUGUUCCUAGAGAAAACUAAGUUGAAAGAUGUUAGUAGCAAUGAUGCGGAUUGGAUCCGUGAUCUGAGGUUUAUCCUCAUUGCUGCACAGAAGAAUUAUGUCCUUGAUGCACCGCUAGGUGACAGACCUAUUACAGGAGCAUAUGCAGACGUUAUGAACGUUUUGACAAAAGCUCGGUAUGAUGACUGCUUGAUAGUUAAGUGCACCAUGCUUUACGGCUUAGAAUCGGGACUUCAAAGACGUUUUGAACGUCAUGGACCAUAUGAGAUGUUCCAGGAGUUGAAGUUAAUAUUUCAAGCAAAUACCCGAGUUGAGAGAUAUGAAGUCUCCAACAAGUUCUAUAGCUAAAAGAUGGAGGAGAAUAGCUCAAGCAGUCAGCAUGUGCUCAGAUUGUCUGGGUACUACAAUCGCUUGAAUCAAGUGGGAGUUAAUCUUCCAGAUAAAAUAGUGAUUGACAGAAUUCUCUAGUCACCAUCACCAAGUUAGUAGAACUUCGUGAUGAACUAUAGUAUGCAAGGGAUGACGAAAACAAUUCCCAAGCUCUUCGCAAUGCUAAAAUCAAGAAAAACAUCAAGUGUUGAUGGUUGACAAGACCACUAGUUUCAAGAAAAGGGCAAAGGGAAGAAGGGGAACUUCAAGAAGAACGACAAGCAAGUUGCUUCUCAAGUGAAGAAGCCCAAGUCUGGUCCUAAGCCUGAGACUAAGUGCUUCUACUGCAAAGGGACUGGUCACUGGAAGCGGAACUGCCCCAAGUAUUUGGCGUAUAAGAAGGAUGGCAAAAUGAACAAAGGUAUAUUGGAUAUACAUGUUAUUGAUGUGUACUUUACUACUGUUUAUAGCAACCCCUCGGCAUUUGAUAUUGGUUCAGUUGCUAAGAGUAGUAACUCGAAACGGGAGUUGCAGAAUAAACAGAAACUAGUGAAAGGCGAGGUGACGAUGUGUGUUGGAAGUAGUUCCAAGAUUGAUAUGAUCAUCAUCACACACUCCCCUAUACUUUUGGGAUUAGUGUUGAAACUAAAUAAGUGCUAUUUGGUGUUUGCGUUGAGCAUGAAUAUGAUUUGAUCAUGUUUGUUGCAAAAUGGUUAUUCAUUUAAAUUAGACAAUAAUUGUUGUUCUGUUUACAUGAAUAAAACCUUCUAUGGUCAUAUACCCAAUAAAAUGGUUUGUUGGAUCCCGAUCGUAGUGAUACACAUAUUCAUAAUAUUGAAGCCAAAAGAUGCAAAGUAAAUAAUGAUAGUGCAACUUAUUCGUGGCACUGCCGUUUAGGACAUAUUGGUGUAAAGCGCAUGAAGAAACUCCAUGCUAAUGGGAUUUUGGAAUCACUUGAUUAUGAAUCAAUUGAUGCUUGCGAACCAUGCCUUAUGGGCAAGAUGACUAAGACUCCGUUCUCCGGAACAAUGGAGCGAGCAACUGACUUAUUGGAAAUAAUACAUACUGAUGUAUGCGAUCCGAUGAAUACUGAGGCUCGCGGCGGGUAUCGUUAUUUUUGACCUUCAAAGAUGAUUUGAGCAGAUAUGGGUAUAUCUACUUGAUUAAACAUAAGUCUGAAAUAUUUCAAAAGUUCAUAUAAUUUCAGAGUGAAGUGGAAAAUCAUCGUAACAAGAAAAUAAAGUUUCUACGAUCUGAUCGUGGAGGAGAAUAUUUGAGUUACGAGUUUAGUCUUCAUUUGAAACAAUGCGGAAUAGUUUCGCAACUCACGCCAUCUGGAACACCACAGCAUAAUGGUGUGUCCCAAUGUCAUAAUCGUACUUUAUUGGAUAUAGUGCAUUAGAGACAGCUGCAUUCACAUAAAAAAGGGGCACUAUCUAAAUUCGUUUGAGACGACUCCAUAUGAAUUGUGGUUUGGCAAGAAACCAAAGUUGUCGUUUGUUAAAAGUUUGGGAUUGCGAUGCUUAUAAGAAAAAGUUUCAACCUGAUAAGCUCAAACUCAAAUAGGAGAAAUGUGUCUUCAUAGGAUACCCAAAGAAGACAGUUGGGUACACCUUCAAUCACAAAUCCGAAGGCAAGAUAUUCGUUGCUAAGAAUGGAUCCUUUCUAGAGAAGGAGUUUCUCUCGAAAGAAGUGAGUAGGAGGAAAGUAGAACUUGAUGAGGUAACUGUACCUGCUCCCUUAUUGGAAAGUAGUUCAUCACAGAAAUCUGUUCAUUAGUGAGGAAGCUAAUGAUGAUUAUCAUGUAACUUCAAAUCAAGUUACUACCGAACCUCGUAGGUAAACCAGAGUGAGAUCUGCACCAGAGUGGUACGGUAAUCCUGUUCUGGAGGCCAUGUUACUUGACCAUGAUGAACCUACGAACUAUGAGGAAGCGAUGAUGAGCCUAGAUUUUGCGAAAUGGCUUGAGGCCAUGAAAUCUGAGAUGAGAUCCAUGUAUGAGAUGAGCCAUUGAGAUUAAAUGGAUCUUCAAGAGGAAGACGGACACUGAUAGUAGUGUUACUAUCUACAAAGCUAGAAUUGUCGCAAAAGGUUUUCGACAAGUUCAAGGUGUUCAUUACGAUGAGAGUUUCUCACCCGUAUCUAUGCUUAAGUCUGUCUGAAUCAUGUUAGCAAUUGCCGCAUUUUAUGAAAUCUGGCAAAUGGAUAAACAAAAUUGCAUUCCUUAAUGGAUUUAUUAAAGAAGAGUUGUAUAUGAUGCAACCAGAAGGUUUUGCCAAUCCUAAAGGUAUUAACAAAUUAUGCAAGCUCCGGCGAUCCAUCUAUGGACUGGUGCAAGCAUCUCGGAGUUGGAAUAUACGCUUUGAUAAGUUGAUCAAAGCAUAUAGUUUUAUACAGACUUGCGGUGAAGCCUGUAUUUACAAGAAAGUGAGUGGGAGCACUACAACAUUUAUGAUAAGUAUAUGUAAAUGACAUAUUGUUGAUCAGAAAUAAUGUAGAAUUAUUCUGCAAAGCAUAAAGGAGUGUUUGAAAGGAGUUUUUCAAAGAAAAACCUCGGUGAAGCUUCUUACAUAUUGAGCACCAAGAUCUAUAGAGAUAGAUCAAGACGCUUGAUAAAUUUUUUUUCAAUGAGUGCAUACCUUGACAAGAUUUUGAAGUAGUUCAAAAUGGAACAGUCAAAGAAAGAGUUCUUGUCUUUGUUACAAGGUGAGAAAUUGAGUAAGACACAAAGCCCGACCACGGCAGAAGAUAGAAAGAGAAUGAAAGUCAUUCCCUUUGCCUCAGCCAUAGGUUCUACAAAGUAUGCCAUGAUGUGUACCAGAUCUAUUGUAUACCCUACCACUGAGUUUGGCAAGGGAGUACAAUAGUGAUCUAGGAGUAGAUCACUGGACAGCAGUCAAAAUUAUCCUUAGUGGAAUAAGGAUAUGUUUCUCGAUUAUGGAAGUGACAAAAGGUUCAUCGUAAAGGGUUACGUCGAUGCAAGUUUUUGACACUGAUCUAGAUGACUCUAAGUCUCAAUCUGGAUACAUAUUGAAAGUGGGAGCUAUUAGCUAGAGUAGCUCCAUGCAGAGCAUUGUAGACAUAGAAUUUGUAGAAUACUUAUGGAUCUGAUUAUGACAGACCCAUUGACUAAAAUUAUCUCACAAGCAAAACAUGAUCACACCUUAGUACUCUUUGGGUGUUAGUCAGAUAGUGAUGUGAACUAGAUUAUUGACUCUAGUAAACCCUUUGGGUGUUGGUCACAUGAGGAUGUGAACUAUGGGUGUUAAUCACAUGGUGAUGUGAAUUAUUGGUGUUAAAUCACAUGGCGAUGUGAGCUAGAUUAUUGACUCUAGUGCAACUGGGAAACUAAAGAAAAUAUGCCCUAGAGGCAAUAAUAAAGUUAUUAUUUAUUUCCUUAUUUCAUGAUAAAUGUUUAUUAUUCAUGCUAGAAUUGUAUUAACCAGAAACAUAAUACAUGUGUGAGUACAUAGACAAACAGAGUGUCACUAAUAUGCAUGUACUUGACUAGCUCGUUGAUCAAAAAUGGUUAUGUUUCCUAGCCAUAGACAUGAGUUGUUAUUUGAUUAAUGGGGUCACAUCAUUAGGAGAAUGAUGUGAUUGACUUGACCCAUUCUGUUAGCUUAGCACUUGAUCGUUUAGUAUGUUGCUAUUGCUUUCUUCAUGACUUAUACAUGUUCCUAUGACUAUGAGAUUAUGCAACUCCCGUUUACCGGGGGAACACUUUGUGUGCUACCAAACGUCACAACGUAACUGGGUGAUUAUAAAGGUGCUCUACAGAUGUCUCCGAAGGUACUUGUUGGGUUGGCGUAUUUCGAGAUUAGGAUUUGUCACUCCGAUUGUCAGAGAGGUAUCUCUGGGCCCACUCGGUAAUGCACAUCACUAUAAGCCUUGCAAGCAUUGCAACUAAUGAGUUAGUUGUGGGAUGAUGUAUUACGGAACGAGUAAAGAGACUUGCCGGUAACGAGAUUGAACUAGGUAUUGAGAUACCGACGAUCGAAUCUCGGGCAAGUAACGUACCAAUGACAAAGGGAAUAAUGUAUGUUGUUAUGCGGUCUGACUGAUAAAGAUCUUCGUAGAAUAUGUGGGAGCCAAUAUGAGCAUCCAGGUUCCGCUAUUGGUUAUUGACCGGAGACGUGUCUCGGUCAUGUCUACAUAGUUCUCGAACCCGUAGGGUCCGCACGCUUAACGUUUUGAUGACAGUUGUAUUACGAGUUUAUGUGUUUUGAUGUACCGAAGGUAGUUCGGAGUCCCGGAUGAGAUCGGGGACAUGACGAGGAGUCUCGAAAUGGUCGAGACGUAAAGAUCGAUAUAUUGGACGACUAUAUUCGGACAUCGGAAAGGUUCCGAAUGAUUCGGGUAUUUUCAGGGGUACCGGAGAGUUACGGGGAAUUCGUAUUGGGCCUUAAUGGGCCAUACGGGAAAGGAGAAAAAGGCCUCAAAGGGUGGCCGCACCCCUCCCCAUGGAUUGGUCCGAAUUGUACUAGGGAGGGGGGCGCCCCCUUCCUUCCUUCUCCUUUUUCCUUCCCUUCUCCUACUCCAACAAGGAAAGGAGGAAUCCUACUCCCGAUAGGAGUAGGACUCCCCCCUUGGCGCACCCUCCUUGGCCGGCCGCCUCUCCCCCUUGCUCCUUUAUAUACGAGGCAGGGGGGCACCUCUAGAGACACAACAAUUGACCGUUUGAUCUUUUAGCCGUGUUGGGUGCCCCCCUCCACCAUAGUCCACCUCGAUAAUACUGUAGCGGUGCUUAGGCGAAGUCCUGCGUUGGUAGAACAUCAUCAUCGUCACCACGCCGUCGUGCUGACGAAACUCUCCCUCAACACUCGGCUGGAUCGGAGUUCGAGGGACGUCAUCGGGCUGAACGUGUGCUGAACUCGGAUGUGCCGUGCGUUCGGUACUUGAUCGGUCGGAUCGUGAAGAUGUACGACUACGUCAACCGUGUUGUGCUAACGCUUCCGCUUUCAGUCUAUGAGGGUACGUGGACAACACUCUCCCCUCUCGUUGCUAUGCAUCACCAUGAUCUUGCAUGUGCGUAGGAAUUUUUUUUAAAUUACUACGUUCCCCAACAUGAACGACAUCCUCGACGCGGUCGUUGCAGCGGUGCGCCUUGGGCUGCCGCUUGUCCCCCUCCGGCAAACCCCACGAGCUCUCCCACCUCGGCACCGGCCUCUACUCGCUCUCGCUCAUCCUCCUCCUCCCCUACCAACACCAACACCGCUCUUCCCUGUCCACUCCAAGAAAAGGACCAAAAUGGCGGCUCAAAUCCAAUCCACACAAGAAUCCUACUCGGCACCAUCGACGGAGAGAUCAGAGCAGGCCGACACACCUCGCAACCACCGCUCCUCCCCUACGCGCGCCGGCGAUGAGAGAUCCCGAGAUCGAGACGACGGCGGCUGCUUCACUUCCCCGACCAUGGUGGUGCGCUAAAGGAGGCUCCUCCAAGGCGACCAUCGAGAAGACGAGUUGAGGGAGGUGGAAGGCGGGUGAGGCCGCCGGCGUCCCUGUCGCCGUCAUUUGGGGGGCAGAGGAGGCAUCGGCGGCGGGAUUGGGAGGAGGAGCAGCGAGGAGAAGAUUAGGUGGGGCGUGGGAGGGAGAGGGGAGAGAACUCACCGCUUAGUCGCGGUGUGGUGCGACUAAGUGGCAGGGCAUGUCGAUUAGUUGUAGCGCGGAGGCACGGGUGCGGCACUGCUGCUAAGUGAGGCACAUCGACUAACCCCGUCUAUUCAUAUUACUAGCGUCGGAUGGCACACCGCGCUACUACUAUCCACUUAGUAGUAGCGCGGCUUUUAUGCACCACACUACUACUAUAGUCUGUCACCUGGGCAUGGUGAGAACCACUUAGUAGUAGCGUGCCCAAAAAAAGCAACGCUGCUGCUAAGCCAUACCAGUAGCGCGUUUUGUACCCAGCGCUACUGGUAAUUACCAAUAGCGUGGGAACACGAACAAAUGCUACUGGUAAACUUCUAUGUAUAAGCAUUUUUCUAGUAGUGUAUUUUUCACAACAAAAUUCAUUACUCAAAUCUAACACCAGAAUCGCUAUAAGAAUGUGGUUCGUCACAAUGGUUUCCAAUAACAAAAUGAACCUUCUUUACGUGAUGCCACUAGUGCAGAACCAGGCUAUAGCACCGGUCGUAAGGCCCUUUAGUGCCAGUUCUGUAACCGUUACAACACGAACAUCCGCUAAAGGGCCACCACGUGGCACGAGCCAGCGCCGGGGGCGGGGAGACCUUUAGUACCGGUUGGUAACACCAACCGGUACAAAAAGGUUUUGGGUUCAUGAUUUCUUUUUCCUUUAAUUUUGUGUUUUCCAUUUAAUUUUUUUUAAUUUGCUGGUAUUUUACGAUACUACAUAUUCUACAUGUUAUGCAUAUAUAUAAAUAGAAUUUCUCAAUAGAAUUUCUCAUAGAACCGAUCAUAUAUAUGGUAUGUAUGUAUGUAUGUAUGUAUGUAUGUAUGUAUGUAUGUAUGUAUGUAUGUAUGUAUGUAUGUAUAUAUCAUCGAAUGUCUCACAACCACCAUUCACACAUACACAUGUAUAUAUAUACAAUUAGGUAUAUACAAUUUCUCCUACAUGUUUCCUUCGGAGCCAGUGGCAUUUGCCUUGGUGCCUUCGGAGCACGAUGACAAUUGGGAGUGGUUCAUGGGGCAUGUGGCAUUUGCCUUGGUUCCUGCGGUAGCGGCGGUAGCGGGUAAUGAUAUUCUCCUUUGGGAUCUAUGAUCUGGUCGAGCAAAAAUCCCACUAUUUCUUCUUGAAGUGCUCGUAUGCGCUCCGUUGAUAGGAGCUUAUCCCGCACCUCAUUGAACUUUUAAGAAGGGGAUCAAUAUGCAUGUAUUAGUUGUGUGAUUAGAUAUCGAUAAUGAUAUAAAAAUUAUGAAUAGUGUUCUGGCAAACGUACCCAUAGUUGUCUAUCAUCUUUGGUCCUUUCGGAUGCCGUCAUGCGAAUAUUCUCGCAAAUGUAGUAUGCAUAUAAAUCAGUCUCCGGCGCCUGCUUCAUGACCUUUACGAGAAUAUAGAAUUCAAUCAGAUAAGAAUUAAUAAAGCAUGAUAAUUAAUGGUAUUGAAACUAGAAUUAAAGAGAUGGUAGAUAGCUAGCUAGUACUACUUAAUUACUUACCUUGGGUCGAAACCAAUAUAACUUUUCUUUCCAUUCGCUUGGAACCGUUUUGAUGUACUUUUGUCAAGCCCUGCCUGCCGGCAAAGAAAAUGAAUAAAGAAGUUAGUAAUUAGUUGAUAUCAGGAAAUGACGAACUAAAGAGGCCGACAUAUAGUUCAAUAAUGAUUGAAUUACCUGUUGACUAUCCCCUUCACGAUUGAGUAGUCUUUAGGUUCUUUAAGCAGUGAGUCCAGUACUUCAACUGUUCCUUCUUUAACUUAAAUGAUUAACAAGAUCCAGUGGUACCUGCAUGCGCAUACGUUUGCAUGUAUGAAUUAAGCGAGCAUGUGCAUAACUCUCAUCAGUUACCCUAAACCCUAUACACUUAUUAACAUCUAGCUAGUAAGCAAAAACGGAAUUUGUAGUACAAGACAGUGUGACUCACUGGAAAUUGUAAGGAAGUAGUAUAUCUCGAUUGGUAUUGAGACGCUUCAAGAACUCUAGCAUGUUUUUCUCUACUUCUUGUUUGUAAUAGACAGUCGGGAAAUCGUCAUACUAAGACCUCAUAGGACUAGAGCGGCAGAAUAGCAACCACCAUCGAUGAAGAGUAGUGUAGAUCGGAAGGAUACAAUCUGAAGACACACGAAGUAGACAAACGAUGACCAGAUCCAAGCAAAUCCACCAAAGACGGAUCCAUCAAAGACAAACAUCGACAUGCCACCGACGAUGCUAGGCGCACCACCGGGACGGGAGGUAGGCAGGGAUAACUUUAUUCCAUCUCUAGGGAGCUGCCAUCGUCUCGCAUUCCUUAGAAGGAUGCAAAACCUAACAAAAAUUAAAGAAACUGCUAAAACGGAACCCUUCCACCGGCAAGGGCCAGCAUCCACCACGCCUACAUAACACAGCCGAAAUAACAGCUUGAUCAAAUAUGUGUGGUGAAAUUCUUCGGUGGAGUAAAUCAGUUUGGAUUCAGCAAGACAUUUCUUGAUAAAAUAUUGAAGCUGAAAAGGAAACAUGGCAAAAUCAUAUGGCUUAGCUUCGACCCACUUUCCAUCCCACGAGAUGAUUGGCAUGUCUCUUUCUUUAGCACGAGAAGCUUGCCUGCCAAGGAAGCUAGUAGUAGCUCAUUCCAUUGCUGAGUCACCUGUCAACGCUAUCCCAAAAUCAGACGGGUCAAGGAAAAUUCAACAGGGCGACGGUGUACACCAAGUACCAUGAGAGCCACAUACACUAUGGCUGACAGGUGGACCAGGAGAGUCCGCAAGCCCACCCGUCAGGCACUCGCUGCCGCAGCGCGCGCCUACGCGUGGUUGUACGCGAGCGUCACUGUCGUAGGAAGGCUCGUGUGCGGGUACAGAUGACCACAUGCUCGAAUUAGAGAAGUUUGGAGCGCCCUGCUCGCACCGCAUCCUCUAACAUUGAGAAGGAAAGUUAGAGAAGCUAUAAUACUCUAACUUUCCUUCUUUCUUUCAUAUGAUUAUGACUAAAACAAUUUAAAUUAAUUUAUAAAUUGAUGAUCUAUCAUGUACAUUUAUAAUAAUUACAUACAAACAAAUUGAUGGUGAAAUAAAAUUAAUUUUAAAUUAUUUAUAUCUACAAUAAAUAUCAAUAGUAAACAACCUACUAACUAUCUGCUAACAGUUCCUAACUUUUCUUUUUCAUUUUACACUAGGCAAACAGUGUAGCACUGUGACUUUCCUUCAUAAUGUUAGAGGAUCCGGUCACCUCCCUCUAUAAAAAUGUCUCCAGGGCUCCCCUGCUUUUCCUACAGAAACACAUAAGCACACACUGACACACGAUCAGUAGCAGAGAAGACCUGAGUUUUCUCUAAGCUUGGAGAGCAGAGGAAAGAAAGAAAGAAAGAGAGGGACGGGGAAAUUUUAGUGGUGUAGAAGCUUAGCAGAGCAUCAAUGGGGUUUUGCUGUGGGUGUUCGGAUGUCAAGGUGCUCCCCAAGAACAACUCCUUGGCUUCCUCGCCCUCGCCGUCCGCUAAAGAUUCCAGCGAUGGCGCCAAGAAGAAGCAGCCUCAAGCCGUAAAGAAGGAAGGGAAAGAGAAGAAAAGGAGCAACCUUGACCGGGCCGCCAUGGCGUCGCCCCGCCUCCCCUUCCAUUCUCGACCCGGCCUAAUGUAAUAGAGUUUGCAGAUUUUCAGAACAAUAGUGCAUACAACAUACAAUCCUGUAGGUUCUCUUAUUAGCUUACGCCCGGGUUUGCCUCGGUUGUUCCGCUGAAGAUUUCAUUUGUACUGUGUCCACGUGUACUGUUUUAUUCAUGGACGGUCGGUUGAUCCAAUUGCUGGUGUUCUUGUCAACUUACUAGUAGACAUUACAUUCAUUGUCAUCAUGAUAAUAUUUGUUUCCCUACUUUUAUCUUGGAUUGUUAUUCCUCUGGCUUGACUGAACUUACUAGCUUGGGUGAACAAAGACAUGAUCUUUCAUGUCUUCCCUCCCUGCGGAAUGUGGAUGUGUGAUGCAGAACUAAGUAAAAUAAAAAGAGAAUUUUCAUCCAAUAGAUAAAGACAUGUCAAAAUGAAAGUACUUUACUUAGGAAAGUGUGUUGACAUAACUAAAGGAUUCUGCUUCAUCAAGGCAAACCCAACAAAGGAUUGGUUCAUGAUUUUCGUUAACUGAAUUGCACAUUUUAAUCCUAGUUUCUAUGUAUGUAAUAAUGCUUACCCCAUUCAAAUAUUUCCGCAACAUUUUACCUUGGAGUUAUUACAUUGUGUCAAGUUUAACCAUAAUGGCUUGCCACUAGUUCUGACUAGAUUGGCUGCACUUGUCAUGCCGAUGUGGCUGGUUACCGGUACUCCAACUAGAUAGCAUAGACCAGCGCGGUUCGUCUCCCUACCUGCGCAACCCAGUCACGUUUGAGAUAUUUUUCGACAAAAAGAUGUUUUUUAUUGACUUAAAAUCAAGCAUCGAGCGAUAUAAUUAUAGUGAGUACACACCCGACCUCUGCAUAACUAGGAUGCACACAGCCAAAACUAACGCGCACACACACACACACACAAGCACACGCGCGCGCGCAAAGUAUCACGUCGGCAAAUAGCAAACUCAUUCGAAGACCGAAGCUAUGUCUAGUCGAAGGGGAAAAAGAAAAAAAACAAAAGCGAUGAAAAUAACGAUUGACGACAUACGGCAGUGACCAUUGGCACCAAUCAUGUCUUGAUAGCACAAGGACUACGAAGAAGGUUCUUUAAAAGCGACGUCUUCAAGAAGAGAACGAUCUGCAAGCGCCGCCAUCGCCCAAUCCUACCAUCGAAGGUCAGAUCAUGGGUUUGCACCUUGAAGAUCAAGUCCGAGGAAACUCCGAGCAGUUCCUUCAUCAAGGAUACGACGCAGAGAACACCGCCAUUGCCAGGUAUAACCAAAGGGUCAUACCCAGUGGCGUAGCUAGGCCCCAGGCUACUAGGGCCAUGGCCCGGGGCGUGGCCGCAUGCUGCUGUGUUUACUGUACAAAAAAUACCACUAUUUGGUACUGUUCAUUACUGUUGCAACGAGGUUAGCCCGGGGCAUGGCUGUAACUUGGGUACGUCACUGGUCAUACCUAGGGUUUUCACCCCGGAGCUCGAGACCACCAAACGAAGUCAUCCUAUGAUGUUUCCUUCACUUGCCACAAUCCAAGCAGCAGUAUACACGCACGGUCCUGAUGGCUAUAUGCAUGCAUAAAUGAGGUCUUAAAAAGAAAUGCUCAAAAACUGGCCGGAUACGUCCAUGGAUGUUUGAGGAGCCAAAUUUAAGCUGGGCGGCUGUAGAUGCCCUAACAUAUCUCUAUACAAAAGAUGUGGCACAUGAAACAUGGAAAAAUCAAACGGCUUCCACCCACUUUCCAUUACAGGAGAUGAUUGGCAGCUCUUCAAUCUACUCUACACGAAUAAGUCAUUUUCCCCUAGAAAAUAGAGAAAAAAAGUCGCUAUCUCGAAGACCUUGUCAGCCAAGUAACCUCCCCUCUACGCUGGGUCACUGGUCAAUGUUGCAUGACCAGCAGUGUCCUAUCAGCAAGGCCAAGGAAAAUUCAAGAGGCCACGAUACACAACCAGUACCACCCACGCCACAUACACUACAGAGUAACAGGUGGGCCAUAAGAGCCCUGGCACCCACCCGUCAGGUACUUGCUGCCACAUGGCGCGCGUAUCUGUUGUACGUUACACGUACGUGCGUAACUGUCAAUGGAAGCGCAUAUCGUUGUCGUUGCGACGGGUGCAGCACAGUUGACCAUGUGCUCGAAUGUGAGUGGUAGUGAACCUUCCGAUGCCUGCUCAGAGUUUUGAGUAGCGGACCUUCGGAUGGAAGUUUGGAUCGCCAUGCUCUCCUCCCCUAUAAAAAGGUCGCCGGGAGCCCUGCUUUUCCAACAGAGUGAGUGGUAGUGAAACAUACACACCGGAUCACGGAUCAGCAGCGGAGAAAAGCUGAGUUUUACGUGAGCUGAAGAAACCUUGAUCAGAGUGAGCUGAGAGAGCAGAGGGAAGAAAGGAAGAAGGGGAAAAGAUAGUGCAGCAGUAGCUUUAGCAGGGCAGCCAUGGGAUUCUGUCGUG